UACGAGGGGGGCAAGCGUUGUUCGGAAUUAUUGGGCGUAAAGGGUGCGUAGGCGGUCUGACAAGUCUGAUGUGAAAUCUAUGGGCUCAACCCAUAGUCUGCAUCGGAAACUGUCGGGCUUGAGUUCGGGAGAGGUGAGUGGAACUGCGAGUGUAGAGGUGAAAUUCGUAGAUAUUCGCAAGAACACCAGUGGCGAAGGCGGCUCACUGGCCCGAUACUGACGCUGAGGCACGAAAAGCGUGGGGAGCAAAC
rnacentral:rRNA from 1 species